UCUCAAAAAAAAAAACAAAAAAAUUCUCAGAGCAUCCAAAUGCUCUAGGCUCCAUCAGCAGUCAGUUGGCCACCUCCCUGGGUCCCAGCUACAGCCAGGAGAACCCUGCCACGGAGCAGGUGGAUGCCAGGGGUGGGGAGGUCUGACCUUCCGUGCUUCUCUCGUUUCAGACUGUUCUGCGAUGACCACAGCAAGGUACCGGCCCACCUGGGACCUGGCCCUCGACCCGCUGGUGUCUUGCAAGCUCUGUCUUGGGGAGUACCCAGUGGAGCAGAUGACAACCAUAGCCCAGUGCCAAUGCAUCUUCUGUACUCUGUGCCUGAAACAGUAUGUUGAGCUCUUGAUCAAAGAAGGAUUAGAAACCGCAAUUAGCUGCCCAGAUGCUGCCUGCCCUAAACAGGGCCACCUACAGGAGAACGAGAUUGAGUGCAUGGUUGCAGCUGAAAUUAUGCAAAGAUAUAAAAAGCUACAAUUUGAAAGAGAGGUGCUGUUUGAUCCCUGUCGGACUUGGUGCCCGGCGUCCACCUGCCAAGCUGUGUGUCAGCUCCAGGACGUGGGGCUGCAGACCCCCCAGCCAGUGCAGUGCA
rnacentral:sRNA from 1 species